rnacentral:tRNA from 1 species
GGAGGUAUAGCUCGGUGGUAGAGUGCAUGCCUAGCAUGCACAGGGUCCUGGGUUCACUCCCAGGACCUCUA